rnacentral:rRNA from 1 species
AGAAUCAACGCUGGCGGCGUGCCUAACACAUGCAAGUCGAACGAGAAAGUGGAGCAAUCCAUGAGUAAAGUGGCGCACGGGUGAGUAACACGUGACUAACCUACCUUUUAGUGGGGGGAUAACCUAGGGAAACCUGGGCUAAUACCGCAUAACACUUACGAGUCAAAGCAGCAAUGCGCUGAAAGAGGGGGUCGCGGCCGAUUAGCUAGUUGGCGGGGUAAUGGCCCACCAAGGCAGUGAUCGGUAUCCGGCCUGAGAGGGCGCACGGACACACUGGAACUGAAACACGGUCCAGACUCCUACGGGAGGCAGCAGUGGGGAAUUUUGCGCAAUGGGGGAAACCCUGACGCAGCAACGCCGCGUGGAGGAUGAAGUCCCUUGGGACGUAAACUCCUUUCGAUCGGGACGAUAAUGACGGUACCGGAAGAAGAGCCCCGGCUAACUUCGCGCCAGCAGCCGC